AUUGAACGCUGGCGGCAGGCCUAACACAUGCAAGUCGAACGGUAGCACAGAGAGCUUGCUCUCGGGUGACGAGUGGCGGACGGGUGAGUAACGUCUGGGAAACUGCCCGAUGGAGGGGGAUAACUACUGGAAACGGUAGCUAAUACCGCAUAACGUCGCAAGACCAAAGUGGGGGACCUUCGGGCCUCACACCAUCGGAUGUGCCCAGAUGGGAUUAGCUAGUAGGUGGAGUAAUGGCUCACCUAGGCGACGAUCCCUAGCUGGUCUGAGAGGAUGACCAGCCACACUGGAACUGAGACACGGUCCAGACUCCUACGGGAGGCAGCAGUGGGGAAUAUUGCACAAUGGGCGCAAGCCUGAUGCAGCCAUGCCGCGUGUAUGAAGAAGGCCUUCGGGUUGUAAAGUACUUUCAGCGGGGAGGAAGGCGGUGAAGUUAAUAACUUCACCGAUUGACGUUACCCGCAGAAGAAGCACCGGCUAACUCCGUGCCAGCAGCCGCCGUAA
rnacentral:rRNA from 1 species